AUUGUCACAGGUCUCAAAAGCCUGACAUAAUUGUUGUUUUAUUGUCUUUUCAGAGUUUGAAGCUGGCAGAGUUAGACUGCUCAGUCAAAACCAAUGAUACCACUCACCACCGUUUUGCCGGGAUCCUUCACACCGACCCACAUCAAGAAGUCCCUGCUUCGCCCGUCGAUGAGCCGAAGACUCCUGUUCCCACAGAAGUCUCUGAUUCACCUGGGACGUGUCUCCCCAACUCAACUCUCAACCCUGCAAGCGAUCAGGCACACACCUCCACCGCAGCAGCUGCCAAUCAGUCAUCAACCCAUGAAGCUCCACCAGUGAGACAACAUCUGGGAGAAGAUUUAUUCAGGCUUAUUCAGCAUAUUAACUACAUGAGUCUGAGGGACGUUCUCCAAGCCUCAUUCUCUAAUGUACAGAACUCUAUGGCUCAGUCCAAUAUGAUCUCCUCACUAAAUAAUGUGCCUCCAUCAUUAACUGCCAACUCCAUCCCUGAUCCAUUUGCCCCUCGUGUUCAACCCACCACCUCUGGAACCCCUCAAUCACAAAAACCCGUGCCAACAUCAGUAUGCACCAAGCCCCACGUCAGCCAGACCUCUGACUGUGCCCCGGUUCACCAGCCUGCGAUGCAAAGCUCAGUCAGAACGGCUUUGGCAGCACACCAGUGUCACCCCGACAGGAAAACACUUCCCACUGCUAGUGGGGCAGGUGUAAAUUAUCAGGAAAUGCAGCCUCUCUCCGUCCAGGCAGGAUCCCCGGAGCCUCUUUUGAGAGAGAGCAGGAGGCUCAUCCCCUGCUCAGAGGGACUUCUGGCCACAACUGACAGCAAUCACACCUUACGCACUACUUCUGUGGUGUUGCCUCUGAGUGGUAGUGCACAAAAUGAGUCUGCUCCCCACAUGCUGGGCCUGAAGUUACUUCAGCUCCACCGCCCCCCUUUACCACAGCAACGUGUCCCGCAGUGUGCAUCAACACAGCCGCCGCAGGCUGAGCACACUGCCAACCCCGCCUCACUGGAAAACAAUCAGCACAUGUCAAAACAUAGCGACCAAAAUACCUCGGUUAAAAGAGGCCGGGACAAAAAAGUCGGAUUGAAAAGAUGCCCUGCUUUUAAUUCUUCACAUGACCCGACACCCAGAAGCUCCCAGCACAAGUUCUGGCCACCGGAGAAGCCCAGAAAUCAGGAGUUUUCACUGCUUCCUCCAAUGUUACCAGCUCACACAGCUGCGCCGGUGCAGGGCCUUCGCCUGCUGAGCUUUCAUUCUGCUCCACAAAGCAACAUUACCUUCCCCAGACUCCAUUUCCGAUCUUUCUCCAGACCUGCUGUCAUCACAGCUCCAAUGACAGAAACACCUGUGAUCAAGCUCCUUCAUAUUGAUUCUGGACCAAAAAUAGUGAUGCCCAUGCCAGCUCCUUCUGUACAAAUGACCAAUCUCAUGUCUGUAGAAGAGUUGGCCAAUUCAGUGAUUAGGAGGCAGAGUGCUGAAGAGAACCGGCUGCAGUUGCUGAGAGCAGAGCCAUCUAAUAAAAGCACUACAGGGACUACUCCUCUUUCCAGUUUGAACUCCAGAAAAAGGCAAUUGCAUGUUUGCUGUAAUCCCAAUAUUGUUUUCCUUGCAACGAAGACAGCACUCAUGAUACUGACUUUGCACUAA
rnacentral:lncRNA from 1 species